UGGGGAAUAUUGGACAAUGGGCGAAAGCCUGAUCCAGCCAUGCCGCGUGAGUGAUGAAGGCCCUAGGGUUGUAAAGCUCUUUCAACGGUGAAGAUAAUGACGGUAACCGUAGAAGAAGCCCCGGCUAACUUCGUGCCAGCAGCCGCGGUAAUACGAAGGGGGCUAGCGUUGUUCGGAAUUACUGGGCGUAAAGCGCACGUAGGAGGAUACUUAAGUCAGGGGUGAAAUCCCGAGGCUCAACCUCGGAACGGCCUUUGAUACUGGGUAUCUUGAGUGCGGAAGAGGUGAGUGGAAUUCCGAGUGUAGAGGUGAAAUUCGUAGAUAUUCGGAGGAACACCAGUGGCGAAGGCGGCUCACUGGUCCGGUACUGACGCUGAGGUGCGAAAGCGUGGGGAGCAAACA
rnacentral:rRNA from 1 species